UUGGAAUGUAAUUACUUCCAAUAGUUUCAAUAAUAUAGUAGGUUGGGUAAUGACGCUAGUAUUUGCUACGGUGUACUUGGUGUAGUAUAUGCUUGUACCUAUUUGGAGCCUUUUCUUUCCGGGUGCAUGUGACCCCGAGGUUUAGUGUUGCGUUUUUUACCAUCCCUGUGGCUGAAUAUUACUAUGGUGAAAUGUUGCACGAAGUUUAGGACGAAACAUCAGGACCAUCAGGUUAUUGAAUAAAUAUCUGUUUAUAUAAAUUCAACAAAAUAAAACAUGAUUUGAAUGUAAUCUUCUCAAAGUUGAUAAAUUGAUGAAUAUUUAUUAUUUUAUUUUAUUAAUGUUGAGGAUUUUUGAUGAAGAUAAUGAUUGAUAUCCAUGACGACAUUGACGUCUAAUUACAAUUUUAGUAACGAUGAGUAGGUGUCUAAUACAAAUACUUUAUUUAUAACGCUAAGGAAGAUCUUAGGUACCAGAGGUCCGAUAAUGAUGAUGAUGUAGGUAUAUGACUGAACAUGUCUACUAGUUAAGUAAGUGUCGAUGUCGGCGACAAUGUUUGCUCCAUGACUAUGACAGGGUCAAUAACUGGCCAUAUCGAUGAUAAAAACGGAGCUGGAUGAUUUCGAUGACAGUGUCGGCGAUAAAGCUUGACUGACCACUUUGAUGACGAUAUAUAGAUGACGUUUAUAGUAAGAUUAAUUGAUGAUGGUAAUGAUUGACUGGUUCCAUGUGUAUAAUCAAUGAUUAAAUUGUUGACGAGGACUGAGACUAAAAUGAUCGUUGCUACUGCCAAUAAUUAUAACAUUUGUUUUUAUUUAUUUUUUAUGUUACAACGCUGGUAACCUGGCUGAAUGGAUGAAGUUGAUAAUGAGCGAGGGCUUCGCAGCAAGAGCUGACUGAAGUAAAGGAGGUUAAACUGUUAAGACGGUGCUGCCAGAAGUGGGCAGGGCCCAAGCUGCCGAUGGACAGGGCCACAGAGCGAGGAACCGACAUACAUACGUGCCGUGUUCAAGAUUACUGCCUUCUGCAUCUGAUCCUUGAUCCAGCGACCAGCGAGAGUAUCUACAGGUGUUGUUUUGGUCUCUUAGCUGAUAAGAUUGCUAUUAUAUUAAUAUUAUGAAUCUAGAAUAUAACCGUUGAGUUUUGGCAGACUGUCUAGUGCAGGCCGUAAUGGCAGACUGUCUAGAGCAGGCCAUGACUGUUUAUUAUGUUAGUUUAUGCUUUGGCAAAGUUAGGUUCUUGUAAUAUGGGCCUUGUUGUCUGAUCCAAAUAAAUAUAUAUACAUAUUAGUUUAUACUUUGACAAACUGUCCAGCGCAGGCCUUGAAGGCAGACUGUCUGGGGCAGGCUUUGAUAGCAGACUGUCUUCUAGAGCAGGCCGUGAUGGCAGACUGUCUAGACAACUCAAGUCUAGAGCAGGCCAUAACAAUUUAUACUUUGGAAUGAUAUCUAGAGCAGGCCUUAAGGGCAGACUGUGAAUGUUUAUGAUGAAUUAUACUUUGUCAAACUAUAGAGUAAGCCUAAAUGGCAGACUGUGAUUGUUUAUGAUGAAUUAUGUUUUGCCAAACUAUUUAGAGCAGGCCUAAAUGGCAGACUGAUUGUUUUGAUGAAUUAUGUUUUGCAAAUCAUUUAAAGCAGGUCUUAAUACUGUGAUUGUUUAUGAUGAAUUAUGUUUUGCUAAACUAUUUAGAGCAGGCCUUAUAAGGGUAGACUGUCAUUGUUUAUGACGUUUUAUACUUUGCCAUACUGUUUAGAGCAGGCCUUGAGGGCAGAUUGUGAAUGUUAAUGUUGGCUUAUACUUUGGCAGAUGUCUAGACCAGACCAAGACUGUAAGUUAGUUCAUAUGUAUUGAAAGUUUAUUGAAAGAAGGCUACUAAUGCUACCAGGUGCUGGUUGUAUUAAAUUACUGUUUAGUGUUUAUAUGAUCUCAGGUUAUAGCAUGUGAAGAUUGUGAAGUGUGAAGACUGAUUUCUCAAUAAGGUUAAUAUAUGCAACUAGUCAUUGGUUGUGUGAUUGACUAAUAAAAGUCUAUAGUCAGUCAAGUUUACAAAAACUGUUCUUAUGAAUGUUUGUUUGAUAUCGAUAAAGUUGUUAUGAUAUAUUGCUGUUGUUAUUAAUGUACAAUUGUUUUUAGUGAGAGGACUCACUAUAAAUAAAAGGACGGCCGAGUUGUAAGCAUCACAAUAGUUGAUAUCCUGUAUGUUACUUUAUACUGAUAAUAAUCACAUGUAGUAUGCACCUGACUUUAUACUUUUUGGUUAUUGUAUCUAUGGUCAUGUUUGUUGAGGGAGAACUGUCAGAUUUUGGCGGCGCGUCAUUGCCCGAGGUUAUGUUGGAUUUGUUCCUUUGUAAUCUUAUAAUUAAUCCUGUAUGUCGCUGUAAUAAAAGAAAUAUUACUGGAA